UUCACUUCAUGAGCAAUGAACUAAUAUUUCAUGUGCAGAAAGUCUCUAAAUAUUUUUUUAACAAUGGGGUUGACAAACAUUUGGCAUUUCAUCUUUAUAGUGAUUGUAACUCAACAAGGUAUCAGUGGGGAUGAGAUCAGAUUAGAUCAGUCACCUGCUGUAAUAAAGAGACCGCAGGAAACAGUGAAGAUCUCCUGUAAAAUAUCUGGCUUUGACAUGACAGAGCACUUAAUGCACUGGAUAAGACAGAAACCAGGGAAAGCUCUGGAGUGGAUUGGGGCAGUUGACUCUGGCAGUGAUGAUGUUUAUUAUGCAGACUCAAUGAAAGAUCACUUCACUUUAAGUGAGGACGUGUCUGCAAGUACACAGUAUCUUGAAGCCAAGAGUCUGAGAGAAGAGGACACUGCUGUUUAUUACUGUGCCCGAGAGACACAGUGACUAAAUGUCAUGAAGCAGCUCUACAAUA